GUUUUGCUAAAUUCAGUUUCCGUCAUUUGCUCGUAGUUGGAAGAUGUUGGUAUUAUUUUAUAGAACACACUAACUUCGGUCACCAUGAUAAGGUAGUUUUAUCUUCUACAACAAACAUUGAAAGAAGAACUAGAGGUAAAACACAUAAGUGCCCACCGCCAGGGUGUUGUUAUAUACUCUCUGGAAAAAUGGCUAACGCUAAUUGCUAGCUAGCUUGUCAAAAAAGACGCUAUUUGCUUCCCGUGUGUUAUUCGGAGGGAAUGGUACCCGGUCAAGAAAAGGCUUUCAGGAUCUCAAGCAUCUUUCUGAGAGGAUUACCAAAUAUAAAAGCAGCUAACGACGCGAUAAAAUUGGACUUGGACGUUACCAGAACGGACGGGCAUAAACGAGGGCUUGAGCAGGAUAACGGCGAACAGAAAUAGAGAUGGAUAUCUUACAACCUGAGCAAGAAACCCCCAAACUAUCUGCAUGGCUAAAGAACUCUUGAGAAGCUAUGGAAAAAAGAAGAGAAUGCAAAUGUCACAAGUGAUGUGCAAACAGCAAAGAUGGAAACAACCAAAGAAACGGGCAAACUGAAAUGAUCGGGGUGGAGGAUGAAGGGAUGACUAAGGCAAAUGGAAACGACAACAGAUGUCAUUCCACAUUAUGCAGCAGGUAUUAGCGACAUCAGAUGGAUGCAAACGCCACUGAAAGACGAGUGCAACACCACGAAUGCCUUUCGAAGAGAGACUGUCCAGAAGUGUGCACCAUUAGUGUGUAUUGCCUCCCUCUAUGACGACAAGCUUACCACCCCCCCCCCCCCCCACCACCACCUUCGAGUGUCGCAUUGCAGACUGUCUAGAAACGCUUUUGGCUUUAGAUGUAGUCAAACACCACGUAUGGAUUAGUUUCUUUCAAGCAUACUCUAAUCCCCACAAUUGCUGCAUGUCUUGACUCCGGACGGGCCUUGUCAGCCUUUUGUGACAGAAACAAAGGUGGACUUUGGAGGAUCCAGCCCCUGAUUUGGACGCAGCUACAGAACCUCCAUUAUCUUGUUUCCUUCCCAUCCUUUGUCAACAUGCAAAUUCAGUCCAUUCUCCUCACUGAACUUCUAUUAAGACCCAUCAAGGCUGCCAUCAGGAUUCUGUCUGAAGUCAUGCCAGGGGAAAUUACAAGCCCUCCUGGCAACCGCCAAUAACAAAUGACUUAUAUAUAAACCCACAUUGAUUUGAAAUUCAUAAAAGCAGAAUAUAUUACAGUCUUUGUAAAACGCUUUAAGGACAUAAACUCAUUUUUACCUCUUAGUUUGAUGUGACAUUUACUGACUCCAAUAAACAUCGCAAAUACAGCGAUAGCUUCCUGUAUCACCCAUAUAUCAAGAGGUUCCGAAGUGUGCGGUAAACCCUGCUUUAAGCAGAGCCCUGAGGCAACUAUGAUGCUAAAAUAUUAUGUGAUAAGAAAGAGAUGCACUACUACUCAUGUGCAUGGGUACUGCAAAAUGUUAAAAAGCAAAGUGAGGGCUUGAAACUGUGUGAGUGUGCAAAGAGACGUUUUUCUCUGAACGUCUGGCUUUGUGGCAGAGAGUGC
rnacentral:lncRNA from 1 species